AGUGAACGCUGGCGGUAGGCCUAACACAUGCAAGUCGAACGGCAGCACAGGAGAGCUUGCUCUCUGGGUGGCGAGUGGCGGACGGGUGAGGAAUACAUCGGAAUCUACUCUGUCGUGGGGGAUAACGUAGGGAAACUUACGCUAAUACCGCAUACGACCUACGGGUGAAAGCAGGGGACCUUCGGGCCUUGCGCGAUUGAAUGAGCCGAUGUCGGAUUAGCUAGUUGGCGGGGCAAAGGCCCACCAAGGCGACGAUCCGUAGCUGGUCUGAGAGGAUGAUCAGCCACACUGGAACGGAGACACGGUCCAGACUCCUACGGGAGGCAGCAGUGGGGAAUAUUGGACAAUGGGCGCAAGCCUGAUCCAGCCAUACCGCGUGGGUGAAGAAGGCCUUCGGGUUGUAAGGCCCUUUUGUUGGGAAAGAAAUCCAGCUGGCUAAUACCCGGUUGGGAUGACGGUACCCAAAGAAUAAGCACCGGCUAACUUCGUGCCAGCCGCCGCGGUAA
rnacentral:rRNA from 1 species